UACGUAGGGGGCAAGCGUUAUCCGGAAUUACUGGGUGUAAAGGGUGAGUAGGCGGCAUGGUAAGCCAGAUGUGAAAGCCUUGGGCUUAACCCGAGGAUUGCAUUUGGAACUAUCAAGCUAGAGUACAGGAGAGGAAAGCGGAAUUCCUAGUGUAGCGGUGAAAUGCGUAGAUAUUAGGAGGAACACCAGUGGCGAAGGCGGUCUGCUGGACAGCAACUGACGCUGAGGCGCGAAAGCGUGGGGAGCAAACAGG
rnacentral:rRNA from 1 species